rnacentral:hammerhead_ribozyme from 1 species
AUCCAGCUGACGAGUCUCAAACAUGACGAAACGCGCGUCCUGGAU